rnacentral:rRNA from 1 species
UCUGUGGAGACUGCCGGUGUACAAACCGGAGGAAGGUGGGAUGACGUCAAGUCCUCAUGGCCCUUAUGACCAGGGCUACACACGUGCUACAAUGGCCGGUACAAAGAGUUGCGAUACCGCGAGGUGGAGCUAAUCUACAUAAAGCCGGUCUCAGUUCGGAUUGGAGUCUGCAACUCGACUCCAUGAAGUUGGAAUCGCUAGUAAUCGCGGAUCAGCAUGCCGCGGUGAAUACGUUCCCGGGCCUU